rnacentral:rRNA from 1 species
CAAGGAUUCCCCUAGUAACUGCGAGUGAAGCGGGAAAAGCUCAAAUUUAAAAUCUGGCGGUCUUUGGCUGUCCGAGUUGUAAUCUAGAGAAGUGUUAUCCGCGCUGGACCGUGUACAAGUCUCCUGGAAUGGAGCGUCAUAGAGGGUGAGAAUCCCGUCUUUGACACGGACUGCCAGGGCUUUGUGAUGCGCUCUCAAAGAGUCGAGUUGUUUGGGAAUGCAGCUCAAAAUGGGUGGUAAAUUCCAUCUAAAGCUAAAUAUUGGCGAGAGACCGAUAGCGAACAAGUACCGUGAGGGAAAGAUGAAAAGAACUUUGGAAAGAGAGUUAAACAGUACGUGAAAUUGCUGAAAGGGAAACGCUUGAAGUCAGUCGCGUUGUCCGGGGAUCAACCUUGCUUUUGCUGGGUGUACUUUCCGGUUAACGGGUCAGCAUCAAUUUUGACCGUUGGAUAAAGUCUAUGGGAAUGUGGCAUCUUCGGAUGUGUUAUAGCCUGUAGUCGCAUACAACGGUUGGGAUUGAGGAACUCAGCACGCCGCAAGGCCGGGUUUUUAACCACGUUCGUGCUUAGGAUGCUGGCAUAAUGGCUUUAAUCGACCCGUCUUGAAACACGGACCAAGGAGUCUAACAUGCCUGCGAGUGUUUGGGUGGAAAACCCGAGCGCGUAAUGAAAGUGAAAGUUGAGAUCCCUGUCGUGGGGAGCAUCGACGCCCGGACCAGACCUUUUGUGACGGAUCCGCGGUAGAGCAUGUAUGUUGGGACCCGAAAGAUGGUGAACUAUGCCUGAAUAGGGUGAAGCCAGAGGAAACUCUGGUGGAGGCUCGUAGCGAUUCUGACGUGCAAAUCGAUCGUCAAAUUUGGGUAUAGGGGCGAAAGACUAAUCGAACCAUCUAGUAGCUGGUUCCUGCC